AAGAAACGUUUCUUAGUAACACGUGUCUCUCUCUCUCUCUCUCUCUCUCUCUCUCUCUCUCUCUCUCUCUCUCUCUCUCGACGAACUCGAGAGCAAUCUUUAUCCGUUUCUUCAUAUUUUUCCCGACGGAAAUCUAUUCAUAUUCGCCAACCAGAGAUCGAUCCCGUUCGACUUCAUCAAUCACCGAAUCGUCAAGGAGUUUCCGGAGAUUCCCGGUGGCGACAAACAGAACCACCCCAUCACUGGCUCCUCCGUGCUCCUCCCUCUCUUUUGAUUAUGCUUCUGCUUCCAAGUCUAAUUCUUUUGAUUCAGAUUGAUAAGAGUUUCUAGAUUCUCAUAUAGUUGGCGAUCAGGAUGUUGUAAGUAUUGAUGCAUGCAAAGACGAGAGCAUUUGAUCAUUAUAAGGGAUGGAGCUUGUUAAAUGAUGAGACAGAACAAACGUGGUGGGAGGGUUAAGUUACAGCCUAUGGUGAUGCCUCAGUCUGAAUUUGACCACGCUGAGAAAGGAGAUGCUCUCUACGGUAAAGUGAUGGUUCUUGAAGGUGUGGAAUUUUUUCUAGUGCCAAAACCCGUCUCCGUUGCAUUUGGCAGGUAACUCUCUCCUUCUCCAUCUUCUAAGGUUUAUGGGGUUGGCUGACGUCCAGCUCCUCUUUUCGGCUCUGAUCGAUUUUAUGUACAAGAAUCUCCAGUUUUUUAGGACAAGGAUGGAGUAGGACUGUGUUCUUUGUUUUUUUCUUGUUGAAAUGUUCAUGGGCUGAGUUUCAUUAUAAACUGGUUAUAAAUUUUGCUUAGUUUGUAUGAUU